rnacentral:rRNA from 1 species
GAUGAACGCUAGCGGCAGGCUUAAUACAUGCAAGGCGAAGGGGCAGCAAUGUCACUGUCGUACGGGUGCGUAACGCGUAUGCAACCUACCUAUCACUGGGGGAUAGCCCGGGGGAAACCCGGAUUAAUACCGCAUAACACAGGGGCUCCUCAUGGAGAUAUUUGUUAAAGAUUUAUCGGUGGUAGAUGGGCAUGCGUUCG